UACGGAGGAUCCAAGCGUUAUCCGGAAUCAUUGGGUUUAAAGGGUCCGUAGGCGGUUUAAUAAGUCAGUGGUGAAAGCCCAUCGCUCAACGGUGGAACGGCCAUUGAUACUGUUAGACUUGAAUUAUUAGGAAGUAACUAGAAUAUGUAGUGUAGCGGUGAAAUGCUUAGAGAUUACAUGGAAUACCAAUUGCGAAGGCAGGUUACUACUAAAUGGAUUGACGCUGAUGGACGAAAGCGUGGGUAGCGAACAGG
rnacentral:rRNA from 1 species